AAAAAGGCAAACCCUGGAUUUCCGUGUCCAACUUUGACUGUCCGUCUUAUAUGAAAUUUUUUUGUAAUUUAUAUUUUCAUUGUUGUUAGAUGAUAAAACAUGAUUAAUAUUUUAUGCGUGACUUGUCUUUUAAUUUUUUUCAUAAUUAUUUGAAAUAAGACAGACGGUCAAACGUUGGGCACGGAAACCAGGGUUUGUCUUUUU
rnacentral:pre_miRNA from 1 species